GGUCGCGUGGCUCAAUCGGCAGAGCAUCGUACUAAAAAUACGAGGGUUGUGAGUUCGAGUCUCACCGUGACCA
rnacentral:tRNA from 1 species